GAUGAACGCUGGCGGCGUGCCUAAUACAUGCAAGUCGAGCGAACAGACGAGGAGCUUGCUCCUUUGACGUUAGCGGCGGACGGGUGAGUAACACGUGGAUAACCUACCUAUAAGACUGGGAUAACUUCGGGAAACCGGAGCUAAUACCGGAUAACAUGUUGAACCGCAUGGUUCAACAGUGAAAGACGGUUUUGCUGCCACUUAUAGAUGGAUCCGCGCCGCAUUAGCUAGUUGGUAAGGUAACGGCUUACCAAGGCAACGAUGCGUAGCCGACCUGAGAGGGUGGUCGGCCACACUGGAACAGAGACACGGUACAGACUCCUACGGGAGGCAGCAGUAGGGAAUCUUCCGCAAUGGGCGAAAGCCUGACGGAGCAACGCCGCGUGAGUGAAGAAGGUCUUCGGAUCGUAAAACUCUGUUAUUAGGGAAGAACAAAUGUGUAAGUAACUAUGCACGUCUUGACGGUACCUAAUCAGAAAGCCACGGCUAACUACGUG
rnacentral:rRNA from 1 species